AAUAUUGGACAAUGGGGGGAACCCUGAUCCAGCCAUGCCGCGUGUGUGAAGAAGGUCUUCGGAUUGUAAAGCACUCUAAGUUGGGAGGAAGAGUUGUAGGCUAAUACCUUGCAAUUUUGACGUUACCAACAGAAUAAGCACCGGCUAACUUCGUGCCCGCAGCCGCGGUAAUACGAAGGGUGCAAGCGUUAAUCGGAAUUACUGGGCGUAAAGCGCGCGUAGGUGGUUCGUUAAGUUGGAAGUGAAAGCCCCGGGCUCAACCUGGGAACCGCUUUAAAAACUGGCAAGCUAGAGUAUGGCAGAGGGUGGUGGAAUUUCCUGUGUAGCGGUGAAAUGCGUAGAUAUAGGAAGGAACACCAGUGGCGAAGGCGACCACCUGGACGAAAACUGACGCUGAGGCACGAAAGCUAGGGGAGCAAAC
rnacentral:rRNA from 1 species